rnacentral:rRNA from 1 species
CAAACGCCGGUAAACACCAGUAACGGCGAGUGAAGCGGUAACAGCUCAAAUUUGAAAUCUGGCUCUUUUAGGGUCCGAGUUGUAAUUUGUAGAAGAUGCUUCGGGUGUGGCUCCGGUCUAAGUUCCUUGGAACAGGACGUCAUAGAGGGUGAGAAUCCCGUAUGUGACUGGUUGCCUUCGCCCAUGUGAAGCUCUUUCGACGAGUCGAGUUGUUUGGGAAUGCAGCUCUGAAUGGGUGGUAAAUUUCAUCUAAAGCUAAAUAUUGGCCAGAGACCGAUAGCGCACAAGUAGAGUGAUCGAAAGAUGAAAAGCACUUUGGAAAGAGAGUUAAACAGUACGUGAAAUUGUUGAAAGGGAAGCGCUUGCAACCAGACUUGCACGCCGUCGAUCAUCCUCCGUUCUCGGGGGUGCACUCGGCGGUGUUCAGGCCAGCAUCGGUUUCGGUGGUGGGAUAAAGGCCUUGGGAACGUAACUCCUCUCGGGGAGUGUUAUAGCCCUCGGUGCAAUGCCGCCUACCGGGACCGAGGACCGCGCUUCGGCUACGAUGCUGGCGUAAUGGUUGUAAGCGACCCGCAA